UGGGGUAUAGCUCAGUGGUAGAGUGCUUCCUAGCAUGUGGGAGGCCCUGGGUUCAAUCCCCAGUAUUGCAA
rnacentral:tRNA from 1 species